rnacentral:rRNA from 1 species
CCUACGUGAGGCAGCAGUGAGGAAUAUUGGUCAAUGGGCGCGAGCCUGAACCAGCCAAGUAGCGUGAAGGAUGACUGCCCUACGGGUUGUAAACUUCUUUUAUAAAGGAAUAAAGUGAGGCACGUGUGCCUUUUUGUAUGUACUUUAUGAAUAAGGAUCGGCUAACUCCGUGCCAGCAGCCGCGGUAAUACGGAGGAUCCGAGCGUUAUCCGGAUUUAUUGGGUUUAAAGGGAGCGUAGAUGGGUUGUUAAGUCAGUUGUGAAAGUUUGCGGCUCAAACGUAAAAUUGCAAUUGAUACUGGCAGUCUUGAGUACAGUUGAGGUAGGCGGAAUUCGUGGUGUAGCGGUGAAAUGCUUAGAUAUCACGAAGAACUCCGAUUGCGAAGGCAGCUUACUAAACUGCCACUGACAUUGAUGCUCGAAAGUGUGGGUAUCAAACAGGAUUAGAUACCCUUGUAGUC